UACGUAGGGGGCGAGCGUUGUCCGGAGUUACUGGGCGUAAAGGGCAUGCAGGCGGUCGGACGCGUUUCGGGUGACAGCGGGUGGCUUAACUACCCGAGUGGUCGAAAGACGGUUUGACUUGAGGACGCGAGAGGGACACGGAAUUCCGGGUGGAGUGGUGAAAUGCGCAGAUAUCAGGAGGAACACCGAUGGCGAAGGCAGGUCACUGGGCCGCAACUGACGCUGAGGAGCGAAAGCAUGGGGAGCGAACAGG
rnacentral:rRNA from 1 species